UACGGAGGGUGCGAGCGUUGUCCGGAAUCACUGGGCGUAAAGGGCGCGUAGGCGGCUUUUUAAGGGUGCGGUGAAAGCCCGGGGCUUAACCCCGGGUCGGCCGUGCCGACUGAAAAGCUGGAGCACUGUAGAGGCAGGUGGAAUUCCGGGUGUAGCGGUGGAAUGCGUAGAGAUCCGCAAGAACACCAGUGGCGAAGGCGGCUCACUGGCCCGGUACUGACGCUGAGGUGCGAAAGCGUGGGGAGCAAACAGG
rnacentral:rRNA from 1 species